rnacentral:rRNA from 1 species
GAUGAACGCUGGCGGCGUGCCUAAUACAUGCAAGUCGAGCGAACAGAUGAGGAGCUUGCUCCUCUGACGUUAGCGGCGGACGGGUGAGUAACACGUGGAUAACCUACCUAUAAGACUGGGAUAACUUCGGGAAACCGGAGCUAAUACCGGAUAAUAUUUUGAACCGCAUGGUUCAAAAGUGAAAGACGGUCUUGCUGUCACUUAUAGAUGGAUCCGCGCUGCAUUAGCUAGUUGGUAAGGUAACGGCUUACCAAGGCAACGAUGCAUAGCCGACCUGAGAGGGUGAUCGGCCACACUGGAACUGAGACACGGUCCAGACUCCUACGGGAGGCAGCAGUAGGGAAUCUUCCGCAAUGGGCGAAAGCCUGACGGAGCAACGCCGCGUGAGUGAUGAAGGUCUUCGGAUCGUAAAACUCUGUUAUUAGGGAAGAACAUAUGUGUAAGUAACUGUGCACAUCUUGACGGUACCUAAUCAGAAAGCCACGGCUAACUACGUG